AGGAAGAAAGGAAAAAAGAAAAGAAAAAAAAGAAAGAUGAGGAGUUCGAGCUUCCAGAGAGCUGCAUUUAACCACUUGGCCCCAGCCAGCCUUGAAGCCGGCCGCCUCCUGAACUUCUCAAUCCUCCACUGCUGUCACCCUCAGAGCUCCAGCACUUCAGAGCUAUGUCACCCCAGUUACUAUCUUCGAUCACAUCUAGACAGUGGGAGUUCCACUCCUAGAGAACGAGGCACAGGGAAAGGCAAGAAUUGGGUACCCCCGGCUGCUUUGGGCUUGCCUUCUGAGUUAUGCUUGACUCUCUGAGGACCAGCCUUUUCCCUCAAAUGACUGACCCUGGGGUCAUCCACCCAGAGUCAUCAAUGGCCUGAAUCGUGCCUUGAAGGAUGAGUAGAAGGGUGCCAGGAACCAGGAAGAAGGGAAGACACUCGUGGCUGAGGAGAUGAGGACAUAUUCCUGUUGCACUUGCUGGCUGCUCAGUAAAGCAGACCCAAGUGGGGAGCUUCAGGGGCCCGGGGUCUCAGAAGAGCAGCCCACUGGGGACUCAGUUCUCCAGGCUUCCUUCUUCAUCCCUGUUCUUCCUCCACAGGCUCUUGAGAAAAGAGCCUCUGGGGAGCAAGGACCAGGAUGUGGCGUCAGGCCUGUGGGUCCUGACUCCCCUUCCAGGAUACCCCUGGGAUGCUGGUGCCCAUGGAGGCACUGGGUGACUCGAGGCCAGUGGCUUUCUCUCCUCAGACAGGAAUAUUGGCAGGAAGAACCGUUUGCUUUGCACCAAAGGAUCUCAAGAGACUCUUCUAAUUCCUGCUCUUUUCUGCCUCAAGGCUCCCUUGGUAAUGAGCUCAUUUGACCUCUGUGCCCCCUGGGAUGAUAGUUUAGAGCAGAGACCAGCCUCCCCAUUAUGCAGAUAGGAAAACUGAGGCCAGGGAAGGACCUGAACACAGACUCAGUGAAGGAGGCUUUGGAAUUCAACCUUUCACUAGGCGAGGGCUCAGCAAAUCCAGCCCACCACCUGUUUUUGUAAAUAAAGUUAUUACUGGAGCACAGCCAUGCACGUUCAUUUACACGUCAUCCCGGGACGCCUUCACAAGACAACAGCAAAGGUGAAUCGUAGCUACAGAGGCUGUAUGGUUGGCAGAGUAAAAAAUACUUAGUAUCUAGCCCUUUAUGGGAAAAGUCUGCCAACCCUGGCGGUCGAUCACACUUUCCCACAGAAACAAGGUGUAGAUAAAAGAACAAGAAAAUUCAUGCCCUCCUAUGUGCCUGGCGCUAACAAGCCUUUCCUGAUGUGUUAAUCACCACGUAAAGGUGUAGCUCCUUGAACUUGCGCACACUGAAUACGCCUGCCUAACCGCCCCCCUCUGACUCUCCCAGUCACUACCCCCCAAAGGGCAACCACUCUCCCUACUUCCCUUUGCACAGGUGUGUUUUGCCUGGUUUUGACAUUUCCGUUCGUGGAGUCACAGGAUGUGCUCCUUUGUAUCCACUCUAUGCCAUGUUUGUGAGCUUUAACAAUACGGUUGCCCAUCACUGGAGUCCAUUCUUGCUAGAGAAGAUGCCCUGGGGUGAAGACACGACAAGGUACUUACCCAUUCUCCUGCUGCUGGCCACUUGGUCUGUUUCCAGUUUCCGUGGAGUGAGAGGACUAUCCAAGAUAGUGGACCCACAUUACCUCGUCUCAGCCUGGCCUCAACCCUGACAGGGGGACCCCUGCAUAGCCUCAUUUGGAAGAUGUGCAAGUCUGGAGACACGGCCGGUGUGGAAAGCUUUAGUAACGUGGUACUUGUGGUCCUGGCUCUCUGGCUUCGUUAUUAGAUUCUGCUUUGAAAUCCCACUGUGACUACACACUGCAGGAUUCCAUUUGCACGAACUUUCUAGAAAAAGCAAAACUCUGGUGACUGAAGGUAAAGCCUGGGUUGUCAGAGACUGGGAGCAGCAAGGAUGGACUGCAAAAGGGCAGGCGGUGAUGGAAAUAUUCUAACAGUGGAUGGCCGGCAGGAUCACACAGCUGUGUUUCUUUAAAGCUGAUCUAGCUCUGUGCUUCUAGUGGGUGAAAUCGUAUGGAAUGUAAGUUAUACCUCAAUAAGGCUGUUCCCCCAAAAUUCCAAAUUUACACUCAUCUGUUUCUUUGUGCAUGCACAUGCACGCACGCACACACACACACACACACAGACGCCGCCCCCCCCCCCCCGCCCCGCCUCAGUUUCCCUAUCUAUAAGAGAGAGGUCGCUGCUCAGUAGAUGCGUGAGGCCGAUUGUGCAAACAGUCGCGGGCCGUUUAGCCUGGGCCUCUUUGGCUUCCCCCACGAUUAGACACCCCCCCACCAGCGUGGCCUCUCUCUGCAAAGGCCUGGGUCGGGGUGGGGGGGAGCUGGGGUGUCUCCCUGCAGAGGUGACAUCUGAAGCGAUCAGAAUCCUGUUUGGCUUUGCUGCAUCCG